UGACAGACUGGGGUGAUGUCGGAAAGGACAUUUUCCUGUCGUUAAAGGACCGGGGUGUUGGAUGGAAAGGACAUUUUCCCGUCAUUAAAGGAUAGAGGGUCCGGUUAGCCCUGACCAUUAUCCGUUUCCAAUUCACCAACGCAAAGACGCUUGCCCGAUCCAUCAAAACUCCGGGUCAGUGCUCUAAAAUGAGUCUCUCUGGGGAGAGAGAGGAGGGGGGCCCUGCCUCUAAAAUGCAUCUCUCUGGGGGACAUGACACCAAAGCUAAGAGACCAAUCAAGCAGGAGAGACCAGCCUCCCCUGUUCCCAGCUGUGUGUCCGUGAAGAGUGACCAGUCUAUGAAUCUACCUAUAGAGUUUAGAGAGGGAGACUUUUCUACUGAACAAAGGUAAGAGGAACUCAUGGGUCCUGGUCAGUGAGUUAAACAACACUGUCUCUAGUAAUUUCUCCUCUCCCAUUUUCCAAUUUAUUGUUGUUGUUUUCAUAAUCCAUAGGCUAAUCAUAUUGGCCAUUUCCAUAGUCCUAAAACAAUAUUAAACAAACACAACAUUCCCUCCCUGUGUGUGUGUGAAUGUGAGUGUGUGUGUGUGUGUGUGUGUGUGUGUGUGUGUGCACUCCCUGGAUGUGGAGAUGUAAACUCUAUCCAGAUUGCGUAGUCACUUUUACCCCUACCUACAUGUAUAUAUUAUCUCAAUUAUAGUCUCAUUAUUACCUCAACUACCUGGUACCCUGCACAUUGACUCAGUACUGGUUCUCCUUAUAGUCUCAUUAUUACCUCAACUACCUGGUACCCUGCACAUUGACUCAAUACUGGUUCUCCUUAUAGUCUCAUUAUUCCCUCAACUACCUGGUACCCUGCACAUUUUCUCAGUACUGGUUCUCCUUAUAGUCUCAUUAUUGUUUUUUUAGCACAUUUUUCGUACUUUUAACUGCAUUGUUGGGAAAGAGCUUAUCAGUCAGCAUUUCACAGUAAAGUGUACACCUGUUGUAUUCGGCUCAUGUGAGAAUUACAUUUUGAUCUGAUUUGAAGCUCAUUGGCAGAAACACGUCGUUGGGUGUAAUAGUCGUCUCGUGCUGAAGAGAUGUUCAGAUGUUGAAGCACGGUGGCUAGAAAAACUCCCUAGAAAGUUACGAACAUAGGAAGAAACCUAGAGAGGAACCAGGCUCUGAGGGGUGACCAGUCCUCUUCUGGCUGUGCUGGGGAGAGAUAAUAAGAGAACAUGGCCAUUAAGUUCAAAUCAUUCUUCAAGAUGUUCAAAUGUUCAUACCCUACUAGCAGGGUCAAACAAUAAUCACAGUGGUUAUUGAGGGUGCGAUUGGUCAGUACCUCAGGAGUAAACCUGCCUCACCCAAUGUGAUACGGAAUCACUAUUAUUUUUCAUUUUAGAACACAUUCAAGAACCACCAGAAGCUAAUCAGCUAAUUAGCUACAAGCUAUACGACUGGUCUGCUGACGUAUAUUCUAUCCUCUGUGCCUUCAACCGGCCUCCGUCUGAGCAGACCCCCUACCACCCCCAGGCUACUAACUUUAAACGCCGUGUCGCCCGUGUGCUAGCGUAGUGGCGGCUUCCCUGUUCCAUCUACUGCUGCCCCCUGGGCACUAUGAUCACUUGGCUACAUAGCUGAUGCUUGCUGGACACUAUGAUCACUUGGCCACAUAGCUGAUGCCUGCGGGACACUAUGAUCACUUGGCCACUUUGCUGAUGCCUGCUGGACACGAUGAUCAUUUGGCCACAUAGCUGAUGUCUGCCAGACUGUCCAUUAUCACGGUACUCCAUUCUGUUUAUACAUUUUUUAUCUGUCGGCCCCGGCCGCGAACUCAGGCUCUGUGUGUAGUUAAUCCGACCCUCUCUGCCUCAUCAUCGCCAUUUCAACUGCUGUUGUUGUGUUAGCUGAUUAGCUGUUGUUAUCUCACCUGUUGUUUUAGCUAGCUCCCCCCAAUCAACACCUGCAAUUUAUGCCUCACAGGUGUUGAUUGUGUUUUUGCCUCGAUUUAUGCCUCGCCUCGCGACUUUAUGCCUCGCUGUAUGUCUCUCUCAAAUGUCAAUAUGCCUUGUACAGUGCCUUGCGAAAGUAUUCGGCCACCUUGAACUUUGCGACCUUUUGCCACA